UACGUAGGGCGCAAGCGUUGUCCGGAAUUAUUGGGCGUAAAGAGCUCGUAGGUGGCGUGUCGCGUCUGCCGUGAAAGCCCAUGGCUUAACUGUGGGUCUGCGGUGGAUACGGGCAGGCUGGAGGCUGGUAGGGGCAAGCGGAAUUCCUGGUGUAGCGGUGAAAUGCGCAGAUAUCGGGAGGAACACCAGUGGCGAAAGCAGCUCACUGGGACGGUAUUGACGCUGAGACGCGAAAGCGUGGGGAGCAAACAGG
rnacentral:rRNA from 1 species